AGCUCAGGGGCGGGUCCGGCGGCAGCAUGUCGGCAUUCCGCGGGCCUGGCCGGGCCUAGGCCCUAGCACUGGCUGGCAGGGUCGUCGAGAUUCUUCGCCGGAGAAGCGGGAGUCAGGAAGCCCGAAACCGGCGAGCGGCAGGGAGUGGAGGAGAUCUGGGGCUAGGAAACGGGGCGGCGCCGCAGGCUAAAGCACCGUGUUCAGCGGAGGAAUCUGACUUCGUGGCGGCGCGCAGCGACUUCCGGUGGGCGCCUUCCGUGGUCCAGCGCGCAGGCGCUUAAAGGGGAAGUUCCCGGCAAGAGAGCUGCGCUCUCCUGGGAAGCUGCGGGUUCUCGUACUCUUUCCAAGUGUGAUAAGCUUGCUAAAGAAGACUUCAACCUUUGUGCGUGUGUGACUGCAACUAUCGAUUUAAGUGAUCACCAGCUGCUUGUUGCCCUCCUGAGUGGACAAAGUCUACCUACAGAACCACUUGCAAGCCCUGGGAUUCAGCUUUGUCCUGCUGUUUCCAAAUUUGAGGUGCUCAAAUAUUGACUCCGAGGACCUUCCAUGCCAGAACCACCCAAGGUGAAACUCUGGGUAGGAAACUUCAGGAGGGGGAUAUGACUGUGUAGUUCAAGGGCUAAGAAACUCAAAAAUAUCUUUUUCUUGUUCUUUUUAGGGCUGCACGUGUGGCAUGGAAGUUCCCAGGCCAGGGGUCCAAUUGGAGCUACAGCUACCGGCCUACACCACAGCCAUGCAAGAUCUGAGCUGCAUCUGCGACCUACCUACACCACAGCUCAUGGCAAUGCUAGAUCCUUAACCCACCGAGUGAGGCCAGGGUUGGAGCUCACACAGUCAUGGAUACUAGUAGGGUUUGUUACCGCUGAGCUGUGAUGGGAACUCCUCAAAAACAUAUCUUGCUGAGUAGUUACGCUUAUGUUUACGAAUAUAAUUCUUGAUUUUUUAGAGAUUUUGAUUUUGGCUUUUUUCUUUUUUUUUUAUGGCCACACCUGCAGCAUAUGGAAGUUCCUGAGCCAGGGAUCGAAUAUCAGCUGCAGCAGUGGCAGCAAGAUCAUUUAACCCAUUGGGCAGGGUAGGGGAUGGAACCUUUGCCUCCACAGUGACCCGAGCCACUGUGAUCCUUAACCCACGGUGCCACAGUGGGGACUCCAAUUCUGGCUUUUAAUUGAUGUAUUUUUUUUCUGUUGUAGACUACUUUGUAUUAAUAACACAUUUCCUAAUAAAACUACAAUUUGCAAUUGUGGUAAAACGUUCAAAUACAAAAGUAUUAGUUACCAAUUAUGUAAAGUUAUGUAUCUCAAGAAAGAAAAAAGUUAUACAACAAAAAAUGCUUAUCUAUGGGUGGUAACAUUUUCAUUUUACAUGUCUUUGGAUUUUUAAAGUGAUGAUUGAUUUUAUAAUUAAGGAAAACAAUAGAAUGCAUUAAAAUGAAAGAAAAAAUUAGGAAAAAAAUGAAAGAAAUGCUUCCCAUUUUAAAACAGUAUUUAUCUGAAGGGAAUUUUGGAAACCAUAGAGGAGGCACACCUAGCUUAACCGAUACUGUGUUUCAAAUCUCAGGCUUAAUCUGAAGAAGUCCAGUGUUUUUCUGUUCUUUUUGAGCUAGAAAUUAUUAUUAUUAUUCUGCUGAGGAAAAAGAUAACAUGUCACCAUAUUUAAUUCAUCUAAAAAAAGAAAGCCAUCUUCUAAGUCACUAUAAUUUAGGGACUUUCUCUGGAGCUACAGAUAGUAUCAAAAUGUCAAAAUGAACUCUUUGUCUUCAGUGUAGGAAAUACAAAGUUUAUGACCCCAAAUACAAUACAGGAAAAUCAGCUCAAAACACUCAGGCUAUUUUCCCCAAUAACCAAUAAUAGCCGCAUAUAUUCUUUUUCACAUAUCAUGUAUCACAAAAUAUAUUUAAAAAAAACAUGUUGUCAGACAUAUGAUAGGUUAUCUAGUCCUGAGCUUAUCUAUUUUGGGAUUUCUUAUGGUUUUUCUUUUUUUUUAAGUCACUGAUUUAAUCACUUAUUAUAGGUCUGUUCAGUUUUUCUAGUCACUGUGUGUAAUUUGUGUGUUCCUAGGAAAAUUUUCCAUUUCAUUUAAUUUAUUGGUGAACAAUGAUUUCUAGAAUUCUUUUAUUUUUUAUUUUUAUUUAUGUAAAGUUGAUUGUAAUGUCCCUAUCUUCAUUUCUGAUUUUACUUAUUUGUAUCUUCUUUCUUCUUUCCCAGUCUAGCUAAAAUUUUGUCAUUUUGUUGAUUUUUUUUUUUCCUCUAAGAACAGACAUUUGGUUUCACGGAUUCUCUCUAUUGUUUUUCUGUCGUCUAUUUCACUUUUCUUCUAAUCUUUAUUUCUUUCCUUUUGCUAGCUCUGGGUUUAAUUUGCUCUUUUUCUGGUUUCUUAAAGUGUGUUAUGGACUGAAUUGGAUCCCCUAAAAAUUCAUAUAUUGAAGC
ensembl:lncRNA A-kinase anchor inhibitor 1